GUGCUCAUGUCGGCAACACACAUACUAAAAUUGGAAAGAUAUGGGGAAUAUUAACAUGGCCCCUGAACAAGGGUGACAUGCAAAUUCGUGAAGCAUUCCAUAUUUUU